rnacentral:rRNA from 1 species
GACCCAGACUCCUACGGGAGGCAGCAGUGAGGAAUAUUGGUCAAUGGCCGGAAGGCUGAACCAGCCAAGUCGCGUGAGGGAAUAAGGCCCUAUGGGUCGUAAACCUCUUUUGUCAGGGAGCAAAGGCGUCCACGUGUGGACGAGAGGAGAGUACCUGAAGAAAAAGCAUCGGCUAACUCCGUGCCAGCAGCCGCGGUAAUACGGAGGAUGCGAGCGUUAUCCGGAUUUAUUGGGUUUAAAGGGUGCGUAGGCGGGAUGCCAAGUCAGCGGUAAAAAUGCGGUGCUCAACGCCGUCGAGCCGUUGAAACUGGCGUUCUUGAGUGGGCGAGAAGUAUGCGGAAUGCGUGGUGUAGCGGUGAAAUGCAUAGAUAUCGCGCAGAACUCCGAUUGCGAAGGCAGCAUGCCGGCUCCACACUGACGCUGAGGCACGAAAGCGUGGGUAUCGAACAGGAUUAGAUACCCUAGUA